rnacentral:rRNA from 1 species
UACGUAGGGGGCUAGCGUUGUUCGGAAUUAUUGGGCGUAAAGCGCACGUAGGCGGACAUUUAAGUCAGGGGUGAAAUCCCAGAGCUCAACUCUGGAACUGCCUUUGAUACUGGGUGUCUUGAGUAUGGAAGAGGUGAGUGGAAUUCCGAGUGUAGAGGUGAAAUUCGUAGAUAUUCGGAGGAACACCAGUGGCGAAGGCGGCUCACUGGUCCAUUACUGACGCUGAGGUGCGAAAGCGUGGGGAGCAAACAGG